rnacentral:rRNA from 1 species
AGCCUGUAGUAAUGAUUAUAGGUGAACCCUGCCCUAUGAAUUUUAAAUGGCCGCAGUACUCUGACUGUGCUAAGGUAGCGUAAUCAGUUGGCUUUUAAAUGGAGUCGAGUAUGAAUGGGUUUACGGAAACGAGCUGUCUCCUAUUUGGUUAUUUUGAAGUUUCUUUGAGGGUGCAAAGUCCCUUGAUUAGAAAAAAGACGAGAAGACCCUUAGAGUUUUUAUUAAAGAUAAGAAUUUAUUCAAGUUUUUGCUGGGGCGGCAAAGAGACAGAUGAUUAAACUCUCUUUUUAUUAUUUUUAGAAGACGAAAAUGUUAAGAAUCGUUAAACUACCUUAGGGAUAACAGC